UGAAGUCUCAGAAUGACUCCCUUGAGAGUCCUGUUCCGCUUUAACUGAUGCACAGACCCAGAAGAUCCCUCCAUCCUGUAGCACCUGCCAUGAGCAUCGGGCUCCUGUGCUGUGCGGCCUUUUCUCUCCUGUGGGCAGGUCCAGUGAAUGCUGGUGUCACUCAGACCCCAAAAUUCCAGGUCCUGAAGACAGGACAGAGCAUGACACUGCAGUGUGCCCAAGAUAUGAACCAUAACUCCAUGUACUGGUAUCGACAAGACCCAGGCAUGGGGCUGAGGCUGAUUCAUUACUCAGUUGGUGAGGGUACCACUGACAAAGGAGAAGUCCCCGAUGGCUACAAUGUCUCCAGAUUAAACACACAGGAUUUCUCACUCAGGCUGGAGUCGGCUGCUCCCUCCCAGACAUCUGUGUACUUCUGUGCCAGCAGUUACUCCACAGUGCUGCACGGCCGUCUCCUCUCUGCACAGAAAGACAGGGGAGGCUCGGCCCUCCUCCCCGACCCCAGACUCAGUGAUGCCCUGGGCAGAGUUCUCUACACCAGGAAACUUGAAACCCCAUCAUCAUGGGUCUGA